UUUUCCAGGGUCUGAAUCUUCUGGAUAUAUUAAAAUCCAAGGUAUUACACUCCACCUCUUCACCUAUUUUUAUGUACUUCAAGAAUUUCAAGCCUUUUCUGGUUUUGGAGGAUUUCUUUUCCUUUAGGAAUAUGUAGAAGAAUGGUGUUAAAACAAUGAUGCUUGCAAGCAUUUUACAUAUUUUAAAUUAUUACUUAAGGAAUUGAUGUGGAGCAUUCAAGAUGAUGGACACGAACUAAAGAUCAUGAUUUGUAUGUAAGUGCUCAAGCCUGCAGCGUCAGCUUUACGAACCAUUAAUGCACAAUUGUCCUGCACAAGUUAUCACAAGUUUGUAUUUACUUGCUCUUUUUGCUCCCUGAAAAGUAAUACAUGCCAUAAUCCAGAGAGAGGAAUCCUGCCUGUGAAAGAUUGUUCUGGAUUUGUUCAUACUGCAGUUCUGAAGAAUCCUAUCAGUAACUGAGAGUUUUCAAUUAAUUACUCAAUUGGGAAAUACUUGUAUUUGCAUUCAAUAAAAUAUGAAUAAAAUUUGUAUUCAAUAAAAUAUGGUCUUAAUUUUCAGAGUGAAGAACUCUUGCCUGGGCUGGCUGAACAGCCAAACAAGCAUUUAAAAUUUCUAUGCUAGAGUGAAGUUUGGUUGGCAAUGAUUCAUGGGGUCUUGUUAUCAUUCAGACUAUCUCAGAAAUUUCGUAUCUAAAUGCUUACAUACCUUGCAUAUGGGUAGGAGUCUAAAAAUAGAUGCACCUGUUGAUGCAUCUAGUAAUGCCUGUAAAUGCAUUUGCAAUUAAAACAGUUUUUCUAAUGACA